AAUCAACGCUGGCGGCGUGCCUAACACAUGCAAGUCGAACGAGAAAGUCCGGUAGCAAUACUGGGUGAGUACAGUGGCGUACGGGUGAGUAACACGUGGAUAACCUACCUCCGAAUGGGGAAUAACCCUGGGAAACCGGGGCUAAUACCGCAUAACAUCCCGGGACGAUAGUACUGGGAUUGAAACUUGGAAACGAGGUUUGGAGAGGGGUCCGCGGCUGAUUAGCUAGUUGGCGGGGUAAUGGCCCACCAAGGCUUUGAUCGGUAGCCGGCCUGAGAGGGCGGACGGCCACACUGGAACUGAAACACGGUCCAGACUCCUACGGGAGGCAGCAGUGGGGAAUUUUGCGCAAUGGGGGAAACCCUGACGCAGCAACGCCGCGUGGACGAUGAAGCAUCUUGGUGUGUAAAGUCCUUUCGGCAGGGACGAAACCCGAGCAAUCGGGCGACGGUACCUGAAGAAGAA
rnacentral:rRNA from 1 species